AAAUGACUCAGCAUAGAGAAGCGGGACAGACAUAUAAACAAAGAGCUAUGUAGUCUGGGACACUCAAGCUCCUAUCCUUGCUCGUAGAAGAUCCAACUAUUUGCCCCACAAGCAAACAGUCUCAGCUCAAAUACAGUAUCUUUAAGGAUGCCGGAGAUACAGGAGUGCUGGGAAGGCAAGACCAUGGUCCCUUUAAAUGAUACGGGAGUGCUGGGUAGAGGAAGGGUGUGGUCCCUGGCUAGGGCUCCACCCCCACCGACCUAGAUGAGGACCUGGCACUCCUGCCUGCACGCCCAAAUGUUGUAUUUCCCAAGACCAUCCUGGCCCACCACGGCCCCAUCCUGUGACUAUAAAAACCUGAGACUCUAGCAAGGCAAAGACCGAAACGACUGGACGUGUAGAGGAGCGGAUCAGCAGAAGAAGAUAGAGGCAGGGGGAUGUCAAAUGCAGCAUAUCAGCGUAGGAACACACAGGCCGUUGAAGCGAGAGAGGAGCACAUCAAUGAAAGAAGGCACAAGCAUCUGGAUGGCGAGAGGAUGUUGAGGGGAGCAUGGCAGCUGAAGAGCACACCGACAGGACACACGCCGGCACUGUCCCGGUGGGAGUGGGAUGAGGCGGAGUUUGGUGGGGGCAGUGGGAGGAGAGCCCUGGCCGUGGAGUGCCCCAACUCCAGGGGAAAACCAUCUCCCUUCUGGCUCCCCCAUCUGCUGAGAGCUACUUCCACUCAAUAAAAGCUUGCACUCAUUCUCCAAGCCCACAUGUGAUCCUAUUCUUUCGGUACACAAAGGCGAGAAACCCCGGGAUACAGAAAGCCCUCUGUCCUUGAGAUGAGGUAGAGGGUCUAAUUGAGCUGGUUAACACAAGCCUAUAGAUGGCACACUAAGAGAGCAUCCUGUAACACACGCCCACUGGGGCUUCAGCUGUAAACAUUCACCCCUAGACACUGUUGUAGGGUGGGAGCCCCACAGCCUGCCGUCUGUAUGCUCCUCUAGAGGUCUGAGCAGUGGGGCACUGGAGAGCCACACCCACAUCGCAUGCCCUGCCGGGGGACUACUGAACCUUUCCCGUUUCACUAGCAUAUACAAUAUAACCCUCUGGCCUAUCGCUUUAACACAUUUCCUCAGAGCGUUCAACAUCAUCUGUUAAAUACUUGUAUUAUAAUAUUUUAUCUCUUUAUUUCUUUUGCUUUAUAAAAUAAAUUGCUUAUCUUUUCGGUAAUCCCCUGUAUCCCUGAUGCUUCGAUCAAUGCCUAACAUAUAUUGAAUUAAUAUUAAUUGAUGAAAUAAAUGGAUAAACACACUCCUUCCUGAGUAUGAAUAUAUCUUAACUGUAUCACAUAACUUUUUUCACAUUCUUCCUUGCCUCAACGGUUUGCAUAUAUUUCACGUAGGUCACUUAUCACUAUCGGGAUUUAUGUAAUUUAAAAAUCUCCUCCAUUAAAUUGCAAAUUUCUUGGCAACUGGAUUUUCUUAUAUUCAUUUGUUAAAAUUUGCAUGCCUUUAAGACAUACAUAUACUAACUGCUCAAAUAAUAUUAUUUAAAUGAAUGGAUGUAAAUUAUACUAAGGGCAAGUUUAAGAAUUAUUAUUUCCUUUUUACCCAGAAGCUUAAAAACAUUUCAUUUUCUAAAAUUCUAUGAGAAGGCAUAUAUAUGAUUAUAGCACUGGCCUGUGCAGUGGGUGAACUGUACUGACUCUCACACCCAUGCAACAUCAUGCAAAACUAAAUGUCUGUAACUGAGUGAUUUCUUUAAUUGGAUAGGAAAUGGACAGAAAGUAAAACUUGCCAUGAGAAUUAAUGAAAAAAAUACAUGUGAGUAAGCAAAAUAUAAUUAUGAAUUAUGGUCAAUUUUUAGCCAAAAUACUUAUUAAAUAUAUUUUUCCUGUGAUCAGAAGGGCCUUUAGAAGAAGGCAGCCUUAAGUCUAGCACGCAGAUAGAUUUUUGGGGGAAGUUUGAAAGUUGAGUUUGAAACCUUAAUGGGCAUCAUCAUUUCUUCAUUGCCAGCAUAAUUCUCUCAGUCUGGGCUCUGGCAGAGAAAUAAGACAACUCUCACUGCAACCUGGGGGUUGACAUUAAUUAAAAACAAAAAAUCAUAAAGCAUCUGUGGUGAGUUUAGAUGCCAAAUGAGAUGGAGCGAGUUUAAAAGUAAACUUCUUACAAAGGUAACUGAAUGUCAGAAUCUCACAUUUUUAAAACGAAGAUAAUUAAAAUACUUCUCUUUAGUACAUCACAUGCAAGCUUUCGUGAUACAUAAUUAGUAUCACUAGACUGUCUAAUAUUCCUGAGAGAUAUUAUAAAGGCAUAGAGAUAUUAGUGCUUAUUUUAGGCCCAAAGAAAGUAAACAUAUGCAUCCUCAUUUUGCUUCAUACAAUGUAAGCUAAUAGAACAAACACCUAUUUGAUUUCAUAUAUCCAUUGCUUGAAUAUCUAUGUGGCUUGCAAACUGAGAUCAGAAAUUAAAAGUGCGAACUUAUACUUUCAGAGUUUUUAAUGCCAAUGAAUGAAAGGCCCUAAAGCAUGAAUACUGCUAUGGACUGAAUGUGUUUUCCCAGAAUUUGUUUGUUGAAGCCUAAAUCCUCAAUAUGAUAGUAUUUGACAGUGGAACCUUUGAGAAGUAAUUCCGUCAUGAGGGCAGGGCCCUCAUGAGUAGGUUAGUGCCCCUAUAUGAAAAAGUAGAAGGAGAAUCUCUCCCUCUGUCUGCUAUUCAAUUAAAAAGUGGCUGUCUCCAAACCAGGAAAAGUGCUUUCACCAGACACCAGAUCUGCCAGCAUCUUCAUCUUGGACAGUCCAGACUCCAGAACUGUGAGAAAUAAAUUUGCUGUUGAAGCCACCCACUCUAUGAUGUUCUGUUAUGGCAGCCCAAACUGACUAAGAUGGAUAUCAAAUAAAUUGGUUUUGUUACAGCUUCACUCUUUAUGAGAUAUAGUCGGUGGGACUUGCUGUCAAUGAUAUUUUCUACCACAACUAUCUAAUUUUAUGAACACUGAAUGACUCAAGCAAAGGAUACAUAAGCUACCAUGCUAAAAUUAUACUAGUUUAUUUCUCAUUGGAAAGACGAAAUAACAGUCUCCCUGUAGACUAAAGCACUAUCAAACUCCAAAUGAGGUAGGGUAUCACCCUAUCCACAGACAAUUAGCCAGACACUGACCCAGUGUCACUAUCUUUAAUCUUCAAAAGAACCAUAAAAGGAGAUGCUAUUAUGGCUCUCAUUUUGAGUAAAGAAACUGCAGAUCAGCAAAAUUAGACGAUUUCUUUGAGAUCCUGCAACUGGAUAUUGUUGGCAAGAAGGGAGAG
rnacentral:lncRNA from 1 species